AGCAGCCGCGGUAAUUCCAGCUCCAAUAGCGUAUAUUAAAGUUGUUGCAGUUAAAAAGCUCGUAGUUGAAUUUCGGGAUCAAUACGUCGGUCGUGCUUCGGUACGUACUGGCGUAAUUGAUUUCUCCCUUCUGACGAACCAUGAUGUCAUUAACUUGGUGUCAUGGGAAAUCAGGACUGUUACUUUGAAAAAAUUAGAGUGUUUAAAGCAGGCUCACGCUUGAAUACAUUAGCAUGGAAUAAUGAAAUAGGACGUUCGAUCCUAUUUUGUUGGUUUUAGGAUCAACGUAAUGAUUAAUAGGGAUAGUUGGGGGCAUUAGUAUUCAAUUGUCAGAGGUGAAAUUCUUGGAUUUAUUGAAGACUAACUACUGCGAAAGCAUUUGCCAAGGAUGUUUUCAUUAAUCAAGAACGAAAGUUAGGGGAUCGAAGACGAUCAGAUACCGUCGUAGUCUUAACCAUAAACUAUGCCGACUAGGGAUCGGAUGAUGUUAAUUUUUUAAUGACUCAUUCGGCGCCUUACG
rnacentral:misc_RNA from 1 species